GCCUGGGUGGCUCAGUUGGUUAAGCAUCUGACUUCAGUUCAGGUCAUGAUCUCACGGUUUGUGAGUUUGAGCCCCACAUCAGGCU
rnacentral:tRNA from 1 species